UCCCUAGUGGCUCAGAUGGUAAAGCAUCUGCUUACAAUGCAGGAGACCCGGGUUUGAUCCCUGAGUAGGGAA
rnacentral:tRNA from 1 species